ensembl:lncRNA
AAUAAGAUGUAUAAAUAUGCUGCCUAAAAUACACCACUCCUGACACAAAACGAAAUCUUGUAAACAAUAGAUUAGUGUUGGGGAAGUUGUUUCUAAAGAUUGGAAAAAAACCAAUCACUUUUAUAACAAACCUUUAAUCUCUUUUGAACGUUAUUUAAGAGGUGUGAAUUUGUAGGGAGAAUUUUAGGGGUAGUUUAAAUAGAUGCAUAGGCAACAGCCAACUGGAAGUAGGAUGCAAAACCACCUGCCUGCGGUAGCUGCUACACCACUGAUGGCUGGCAGUAGGACAAAGGCAACCCACCCACUGAAUAUUUAGUCAAGACGUACCAAUCCUGUCGGCCCGUCUUUGUCUGGCAAUCGCUCUGGUCUGGAAGGGGCAGCUGGCACCUGGGAUGGCAGCAGAUUUUAUGGCAUGGUGUUAUUCUUGAAAUCUAUCUCAUAAAAACCAUCCACUCCCAGUAUCAAAACAAUCUAAAGUGACCUGCUCCCCAGUCACCGCAACUGGAGGCGUAAAAUUAUUUGAUAAAAUUGUGAAUGUGAAACCACUGAAAAUACAAUACACGGCUGAAAAAUGACUUCCUUGGAACCCACAGUUUUAUAGUUUUAAAUGAAAAGAUAAUAAUUUUCGUACUCUUCAUCAGCAGAUCUCAGAGUGCGACAGGGAUGGUAAAACAUAGUUAAAAUAGGGAGAAAAAAAACGUAAGAACUCCUUCCGGAAUAAGGUUUAGAGGCCAGUGACCAUACUGCCCUCAGACCCAGAUGAGCGAGCUUCUUGCAGAACCGAGGGUGCGAGUGGAGGUUUUGGGAGUGAGUAGUCCUUGCAAAUAGGGAGAUGCAUGUCCAUUUAUAAGUGAGUACUAGAACUUGGUAGUUAAUCCAGAAUGAGACAGGGAGCCAGUGUAGGUUGGGUGUUAUGUGUUAAUAUUUCCGGACUCUCAUCAGGAUCUUGCCAGCGCUGUUUUGGAUGUAUUGUAGUUUCAGGAUAUUCUUGCCAGUGAUUCCAGUUAAAAGUGAAUUACAGUAGUCCAGUCUUGAGGAGGUAAAGGCAUGAACAAGCUCUGCAUCUGACAGGGUAAAAGUGGGGCGGAGUUUGGAGAUGUUUUGCACAGGUAUUUGAUAAGAUCUGUCACAAGGGGCCAAUCUGUGGCUUUUAUUGGCCAAAUGUAGUGUCCUCCGAUAGUAUAGAGGGAGAGCCAAGCAGCUGACAGGAGACAGCUAUAAUGAGUUCAAGGUCAGAGCGCUUAUUUGUGGUCUGAUGCUGAUCCAUCAAUUUUUAAAUUGUUCUUAAUAAUGUAGAUUUUUCUACAAUUAAAGUUUAAACAUUUCAUAUUUUCAGGUAAUAUGCAGCGGAGGGUGCUUCCUGACGAUCUUUUAAGUGGAGCAGCUCCAGGUUUUGUCCAAGUGUUUGUCAUUAUGAAGCAUCAACAAAAGGGCAGAACAGCAAUAGCUCUGCCUGGCCUGGGUGUAAUUCAUCAACACGCAUCAUGAACUGUGUGUGUGUCUCAGAAGUGAUUAGGGAGUGUUUUUCAGCUCUCAGACAUUGUCAUGAAGGAGCGAAUUCAAACAAUGCUCCUUAACACAAACACUGCCCAGCACAGUUUGACCCUAGUCUGUUGUCAUUAGGAUAACUUGUUCAUUAAGAAGAGCUUCUCUAACACUGAGACACAAACUAUCUCUAUAGAUUUAAGGCAUUCAACAAUGUCCAUUGGACUAAAGGCACAGCCCUCUGGAUGUGGUGCCACUCGAGCACUUUUCUUGACCAACACCACCCCCUUGGCUAAUCCCGAUGCGUCUUGGAGUACUAGGCUUCCAACCACCUCUCGGACCAACCAAAAAAAUUAAAAUUUAAAACAAUUUAAAAAAUAAGAACAUAAAAAUAGAUGAAAAUAAAAAAUGUUGGUUCUGAUUACCCACCUUUCCUGGUAAGAUUGUUUUCUUCCCCCUUUAAAGGGUAUAAAACCACAAUAUAUACAGAGCUGCCAUCUCCCACAGUUUCGCCGUGUGACACAUGCUUUUGAAUGUUUUCACAAGCACUCACGCCACACAUCCAAUUUCUCACGCAAAAAAGAUAUCUGAUUUUGGUCCGAGACGCAUUAGCGCCAUCUACCCUGGGGGAGUUUGAAAAGGAACUAAGGAGCGCAUCUGUAACCCUAUUCACUGCAUAGGCAUUCUUUCUCAAUGUCCAAGACAGCAGAUUUACAUUCCCGGGAGAAUAAGCUGUGUCUCAAAGUCGCUAGGCUGCAUCCAUGUAGCCUGCAGCCUUUGCAGUAGACCUGCUGUGUCUGUGGCUGUGUCCUUCAACAACCGCAUAGGGUGAACCAGCAGUCUCUGAAAUGGAACGGUGUGGCCUACUGCGACUUCCUGCUUGCGUCAUCAGCUUUUCCUCCGCAGCUCCUCUUGCCUAGCAACCUGUCUUAAAAGAUAAACAAAUUGCAAAGUACAGAAAAAGAAUAAUCUUAUUUCAUUUAAUUUAGGAAGAAAAGCUUUAUCUCCAGAGCAUGAUAUAUUUCAGGCUGAGAGAAGAACUUCAACACAACUAAAAGUUAUAGUUUAUAAUCACACAAAAAACAAAAAGGAGCAAAGCGAGUUAAUUUUCUUUGUACUUAUUCUAUAACGUUACUGGUUACUGACUUAGAAAGUGAUAUUUUAGGCUCAUAGUUAAUAACUAUACGGGUGGAUGCGGGCAGAUGAGCUGCCACUAACUGCGCAGUUGCUUCUGGUAAUGUGAGCUGCUCGUUGUGUGUUUUAUAUAUAUAUGGCAAAUCUUAGCUAAUUAGCUAAUUUUGCUGUGACACUUUAAUUCAUAUGCUGUCCAUUUCUUCUGAUCCUCCUUGAUAUGGCUCCUUCAUUGAAGUCCUGCUGUGUUUAAUUAAACUGACUGAUAUUUGCAAAAAAUAUCAGUCAAUUUGCAAUAUUUCAUUUUGCAAUAUUUGAAAAAAUUGUUUUUUUCUGUACCCACUGUGUAUGUAUAUGUGUGUGUGUGUGUGUGUGUGUGUGUGGGUGUGUGUGUGUGUCUACACAUUAACAAAACUUGCACAUAAAUGUAAAUGGAUUAAUGUACAAGCUGUGCUUUCCUUCUGGAACUCUAGUGUACAAUCCAUUCACUGUGAAGAAAUGAGAGUCUUGAGACUUUCCAGUGUGUGUGUGUGUGAGAAUGUGUUUGUGUAUGUUUGCACAUCUUCUCGUCUCAUAUUGAUUCAGACUCCAGGCUACAAAGCAGUCAGCUAACACGAUUCUGAAUAGAAUAAAUCUGUCCUCAGAGGAAGAGACUCCUGACACAGAGCUGUCAUAUCCCCUUACCCUCUGUCUCAUGCGCACACAGACACACACACACGUUCAUCUAUGCAGUCGCACAAUUGAGGCAGAACCACUCAAUGAUUUAUCACACCUGAGUUAAGGUGUGUGUAUACAGACAGAGAGGAGGACCCAGAGAAAGAGAGAGAACAAAGUGUGUCCGGUCUAUCUGUCUGCAGUCACAUGACGUGCACCCCUGCUGACAGAAAAAUGGGACAAACAUGCUUAAACCACCGUCUCUUAAACUAAAGACCCAUUAGAGGAAAUUUUGUGGACAGACUGCGUGCUACUGUUGCUUCACUUUUUGAAGUGGUGUUCAAUAAUUGGGACAAGAGCGGUUAUUGUCUUCUGCACAGAUAUUGGUGUAAGGAUAUCAGUUUGCUAACGAACAUUUCAGCUUUGAUAGUCCAGCUACUUUAGAAACCAAAUCCAUCCUUGAUGUGAUAUGUCUGCGGCAAAUUUAAAGACUGCAUCCUGUCACGGGAACAAGGAUUAGGAUCCAAAAUGCAAUCACAGGAGCCAGUAUAGGGUUAGCAAAUUCAUUCAUUGCCCCAACAAGACAAUUUACGACGCAAGCCCCGCGGCUUGACGUCAGAAUGUAGCUCGACACCGGAGGCAGGCAGGUCACGGCGUGAGUCCCGUGGCUCGACACUGGAGGCUGAAAUAGAGCCGUUGAUGAAUACUCAUUGGUCUCAGCUGUGUACUGCUCAAUGGGCGGCGUCUGGAGGUGGGACCAAGAACACACCCACAACAAGCACAUGGCAAAAUAAAACACAGGGGGAUGACAGACACGUGAGGGAAGGAGACUUGGGAGGAAAAACAGAGGCAAAAGACAGAACGGGUCAGACAGGGAUCCCGACACAUCCAUUAAAUGUUCGAGGUGUGAGUCAAAUGCAAAUGUCCACUUUGAACCUGUUAGCAGAAGUUGUCCAUUGUGAAUGUAUUGUGAUGACGCCGUUGUUUUGCGCGUGUCAGGCACUGUGAUGCAGACCAAGGGGCCGGCCUCCAAUUUUCUUCAAGUGAAAUUUGAGCCUGUUCGUUUUUGAUCAGACGUUCAGACAAAGUCUCCUGAAUAUAUGGACUGAAGCGAACAUCUCUCAGUUAUUUCUAUACACUUACUAACCAUGGCGAUUUAUUAUUUGCAGCUAGCCUGCUCCACACCAGGCUAAGUGAGUCCGUGAGUCACGGACCAUUUUCAUGUCAGACAAUAUUUCACGGAUCGGUCAAGAAGUUGGGCGGAUAAUAAACACGUUGUGUACAUUGGUGGGGGAAACUGCACAGUGAGGAGUGAACAAUUGUAAACGUGAUGAGGGCGAUAUAUAAGUAUAUAUAUAUAAACUGGCGAUAUAUAAGUCCCAUUCACCUGUGUUUCUUCCUGCACCAUGAUGCCCAUUUCUGAACCACGUUUUGGAUGAAGAAGCACUGAUAUUGAGACGUGCUUUCAGACGUGAGAGGAUGUUUGGGGACAGAUGAUAUCAGCGUGACGCUCUCCCCAUCCCACAGAUGCUCUGUAUGGCACUGAGCUUUCUCACACGCGGCAUGUUUUUAUAUGCCGAAAAUACUGACUGACUGUAGGGUGUAUAGGUCCUUUUUAAAGGAUCUGUAUUCUUGUCCGUAUCAAUAUUUGCCACAUAGACACAAUUAGUGCUGUGAACCAGCUUAGAUUUAUAUAAAUUUUAGGUUCUGAGAAAUGCUUUUAUUGAUUUCUGUUGAAUGACAUUCUCUGUUCCAGAUCAUGUACCUUGGGGCUGCAACCAAUAAUUAAGCAUCUACUGCGCUUUCUUCUUGGAGGCAGUGCAAAAGUAUGACCAACAAACAGGUGUGGCUCACCGUGGUGCUCAGUGAUUCCUGCAUUAGCUGUUGGUCAAAAUGUAUGUUUUUGACAUUGUAGGUGUCGACGUUUGAAAUCUUACAAAAUCAAUAUCCACAGUUAUCCACAGUUACUGUAUUUUAAUAUAUAUAUAUAUAUAUAUAUAU